rnacentral:rRNA from 1 species
GACGAACGCUGGCGGCGUGCCUAACACAUGCAAGUCGAACGGAAAGGCCCUGCUCUUGUGGGGUGCACGAUUGGCGAACGGGUGAGUAACACGUGAGUAACCUGCCCUUGUCUUUGGGAUAACUUCUGGAAACUGGGGCGAUUACCGGAAGGAGCUCCUGCUGCCGGGUGGGGGUUGGAAAGUUUCGGCGGUUGGGGAUGGACUCGCGGCUUAUCAGCUUGUUGGUGGGGUAGUGGCGUACCAAGGCUUUGCCGGGUAGCCGGCAUGGGAGGGUGACCGGGGACCAUGGGCCUGCGGUAGGCACCAGAAGGGAAUGGGCGGCAACGGUCGGGAAUCUGACGGAGUGAGGCGGAGUGUGUUACAGAGGCGUUGGGUGCGGGAUGCCGGGUUUUGAGUGGAAAACAGCUUUCGCAGGAAACGUAGGGGGAGUGACGGUAAUGAGUAAAGAAGCAACGGCUAACUACGUG